rnacentral:misc_RNA from 1 species
GAUGAAGAACGUAGCGAAAUGCGAUAAUUAAUGUGAAUUGCAGAAUUCAGUGAAUCAUCGAAUCUUUGAACGCACAUUGCGCCCGCCAGUAUUCUGGCGGGCAUGCCUGUUCGAGCGUCAUUUCAACCAUCAAGCCCCCGGCUUGUGUUGGGGACCUGCGGCUGCCGCAGGCCCUGAAAACCAGUGGCGGGCUCGCUAGUCACUCCGAGCGUAGUAAUACAUCUCGCUCAGGGCGUGCUGCGGGUUCCGGCCGUUAAAAAGCCUUAUUUACCCAAGGUUGACCUCGGAUCAGGUAGGAAGACCCGCUGAACUUAAGCAUAUCAAUAAGCGGAGGA